rnacentral:sRNA from 13 species
UCACUUAAUCAGAGAAAAAAAAAGGCACUGUCCAGUCAAGUUGACGUCUGUCCAUCAAAUCCUCGACACGUCAAUAGUGACUUAUUUUCAAUUUUCUUACCCAGGUGGAAUUACGGAUUUUUCUUCUUUCCGUCGCAAAAGAGCAAAGAUGACCAGCGGUCAGAUCAGCUUCGCACAGACUCAAAUCAAGCAAUCAGGCCACUGGUCAGUUGUUGGUUUGUUCCAGACAUAGCACGUGGCGUGUAGAAACGGCGAAGGGCGUCCUGCAGACGAUCGUUUGAUGAGCACAGGUGUUGUGAGGGCGCCUACUGCCCAGCAGGUAGAGCUGCCCCCUGUCACUAUCUCCACCUCAGUCAAGCUGUCUACCAAUGCUCA